rnacentral:lncRNA from 7 species
AUGACCCCAAUUCCCCUCAGUUUUUAUCCCCAAACCACCUCAGUAUCCCAAUUCCCCUCAGUUUUAUCCCAAAACCACCUCAGAAUUCCAAUUCCCCUCAGUUUUUUAACCCAAAACCACCUCAGAAUCCCCAAUUCCCCCCAGUUGUAUCCCAAAACCACCUCAGAAUUCCAAUUCCCCUCAGUUUUAUCCCAAAACCACCUCAGAAUUCCAAUUCCCCUCAGUUUUAUCCCAAAACCACCUCAGAAUCCCAAUUCCCCUCAGUUUUUAUCCCCAAACCACCUCAGGAUCCCAAUUCCCCUCAGUUUUUAUGCCCAAAACCACCUCACGACCCCAAUUCCCCUCAGUUUUUAUGCCCAAAACCACCUCACGACCCCAAUUCCCCUCAGUUUUAUCCCAAAACCACCUCAGAAUUCCAAUUCCCCUCAGGUUUAUCCCCAAACCACCACAGGACCCCAAUUCCCCACAGUUUUAUCCCAAAACCACCUCAGAAUCCCAAUUCCCCUCACUUUCACCCCCAAAACCACCUUAGAAUCCCAAUUCCUCCCAGUUUUAUCCCAAAACCACCUCAUGACCCCAAUUCCCCUCAGUUUUUAUCCCCAAACCACCUCAGGAUCCCAAUUCCCCUCAUUUUUAUCCCCAAACCACCUCAGGACCCCAAUUCCCCUCAGUUUUUAUCCCCAAACCACCUCAGAAUUCAAAUUCCCCUCAUUUUUAUCCCAAUACCACCUCAGAAUCCCAAUUCCCCUCACUUUCACCCCCAAAACCACCUCAGAAUCCCAAUUCCCCCCAGUUUUAUCCCAAAACCACCUCAUGACCCCAAUUCCCCUCAGUUUUUAUCCCAAAACCACCUCAGUAUCCCAAUUCCCCUCAGUUUUAUCCCAAAACCACCUCAGGACCCCAAUUCCCCUCAUUUUUAUCCCAAAACCACCUCAGAAUUCCAAUUCCCCUCAGUUUUAUCCCAAAACCACCUCAGAAUUCCCAUUCCCCUCAGUUUUUAUCCCCAAAACCACCUCAGGACCCCAAUUCCCCUCAUUUUUAUCCCAAAACCACCUCAGAAUUCCCAUUCCCCUCAGUUUUUAUCCCCAAAACCACCUCAGGACCCCAAUUCCCCUCAUUUUUAUCCCAAAACCACCUCAGAAUUCCAAUUCCCCUCAGUUUUAUCCCCAAAACCACCUCAGGACGCCAUUUCCCCUCAGUUUUAUCUCAUAACCACCUCAGAAUCCCAAUUCUCCUCAGUUUUAUCCCAAAACGACCUCACAAUUCCAAUUCCCCUCAGUUUUAACCCCAAACCACCUCACGACCCCAAUUUCCCUCAGUUUUUAUCCCCAAACCACCUCACAACCCCAGUUCCCCUCAGUUUUAUUCCAAAACCACCUCAGGACCCCAAUUCCCCUUAGUUUAACCCAAAAAACACAAGACCCAUUUUCCCUCAGUCCCCCCCCCAAAAAAACUCCCACAGGGCCCCAUUUCAACCCCCAAACCCCACACGAUCCCCAUCUUCCCUCAUUUCCCCCCCCCCAAAGACCCCACAGGACCCCUCUCCCCCUCAGUCACACCCCCCGAAAUCCCCUCACCACCUCCAUUUGCUUUCACUUUCACCCCGAACCCACCUCGGGGCCCCAUUUCCUCUCAAUUUCACCUCAAAAUCCGCGCCCUCCCCCCCCCUCCCCCACUCACCAGGCAGCGGACCCCCCCCCCAGCCCCCCGCCCCCCCCCGCGCCCCCUCACAAUGGUACGUCCCGGUCGGGUGAACGCGCGCAGUGCGCAUGCGCGGGGCGAACCAUUGCGCAGCAGAAGGGGGUGGAGCGCUGCGCAGCGCGCGUGCGCACUGACGGGAAGUGGGCGAGGCGGAAGUGGGGGCGCCAUUUUGUGGGCGGUGUCGGCGCCAUUUUGUGGGCGGCGCCAUUUUGUGGGCGCCGAUGGGAAAUGGAGUCCGCGUUCCGUUUUGGGGUAAAAGUGAGGAAAAAUGGGUCUGCGGUUUGUGUUUGUGGCACGAAGGAGGGGAAAUGGGGACUCCUCCCUACGUUUUGCUGUAUAAAUGAGGGGAAAAUGGGGCCCUUCGUUCAUUUUUGGGGAUGUAAAUGAGGUAAAAGGGUGUCCCGGGUACAACUUUCUGUGUAAAACUGAGAGUAGAAGUGGUCCCAUUACCAUUUUUUUCAGUAAAAUUGUGGGAAAUAGGGGAAAUUUAGAGUAAAACCGAGAGGAAAUGAACGGCGUUGUUCCAUUUCUUGGGAAUGUGAGGAAAAAUUGGGGGGUCCGGGACGUUUUGGGGGCAAAAAAAAAAAAAAAUGAUGGAAAAGUGGAACAAAAUGUUGAUUUUCGGGGUAGAGAUAAGGGGAAAUUGGGUUUUCCCGUUUCAUUUUGGGGUAAAACUGAGGGAAAAUUGGGGACCUCCAUUCAUUUUUGGGGGUAUAAAUGAGGGGGGGGGGGGGGGGAAGUGUUUCCAUGUCCGUUUCGGGGUAUAAAUGAACAAAACGAGGUCCUGAGUCCUCAUUUUUGGGUCCCCAAUCCAUUUUUGGGUGUAAAUGGGGGAAAAUUGGGUUCCGUGGUUCAUUUUGGGGUGAAACUGAGGGAAAAGGGACCCAUUUCUGGGAUAAAACUGAGGGGAAAGGAGGUCCCCAAGCUCAAAUUUGGGGGUAAAAAUGGGGAAAAGGGGGUUCUCGACAACAUUUUGGGGUAAAACUGAGGGAAAUUGGGGUCCCAUGAUUGUGUUCAGUGAUACAAGUGAGAAAAUGUUGGGGUCUCCUCUCUUUUUUGGGGGAUAUAAAUGGGGAGAGUGUGCUUUUUUGAGGGUACAACCAAAGGAAAUUGGGUCCCCAGAGCACUUUUUGGGGUACAACUGAUGAAAAUGGGGUCCCCAGAGCCCUUUUUGGGGGUACAACCGAAGGAAAUGGGGUCCCCAGGCCCCUUUUUGGGGUACAACUGAUAAAAAUGGAGUUCCCAAAGCACUUUUUGGGGUACAACCGAAGGAAUUGGGGUCCCCACACCACUUCUUGGGUACAACUGAAGGAAAUGGGGUCCUCAGACCCCUUUUUGGGAUACAACCGAAGGAAUUGGGGUCCCCAGAGCACUUUUUGGGAUACAAUCAAAGGAAAUGAGGCCCCCAGGCCCCUUUUUGGGGUACAGCCAUGAGAAAUGGGGUCCCCAGAUCACUUCUUGGGGUACAACUGAAGGAAAUGGGGUCCUCAGACCCCUUUUUGGGGUACAACCGAAGGAAAUGGUCCCCAGACCCCUUUUUGGGGUACAGUCAUGAGAAAUGGGGUCCCCAGAGCCCUUUUUGGGGUACAGUCAUGAGAAAUGGGUCCUCAGACCACUUCUUGGGUACAACUGAAGGAAAUGGGGUCCUCAGACCCCUUUUUGGGGUACAACCGAAGGAAUUGGGGUCCCCAGAGCACUUUUUGGGAUACAGUCACAGGCAAUGGGGUCCUUAGCCCCCUUUUUGGGUCACAACUGAAGGCAAUGGGGUCCCGAGACCCCUUUUUUGGGGGUACAACCAAAGGAAAUGGGGUCCCCAGAGCCCUUUUUGGGGUACAACCAAAGGAAAUGGGGUCCCCAGACCCCUUUUUGGGGGUACAACCGAAGGAAUUGGGGUCCCCAGACCCCUUUUUGGGGUACAACUGAUAAAAAUGGAGUUCCCAAAGCACUUUUUGGGGUACAACCGAAGGCAAUGGGGUCCCCACACCACUUCUUGGGUACAACUGAAGGAAAUGGGGUCCUCAGACCCCUUUUUGGGGGUACAACCGAAGGAAUUGGGGUCCCCAGAGCACUUUUUGGGAUACAGUCACAGGCAAUGGGGUCCUUAGCACCCUUUUUGGGGCACAACUGAUAAAAAUGGGGUCCCAAGACCCCUUUUUUGGGGGUACAACCAAAGGAAAUGGGGUCCCCAGAGCCCUUUUUGGGGUACAACCGAAGGAAAUGGGGUCCUUAGCACCCUUUUUGGGGUACAACUGAAGGCAAUGGGGUUCCCAAAGCACUUUUUGGGGGUACAACCGAAGGCAAUGGGGUCCCCAGAGCCCUUUUUGGGGGUACAACCGAAGGAAUUGGGGUCCUUAGCACCCUUUUUGGGGUACAACUGAAGGCAAUGGGGUUCCCAAAGCACUUUUUGGGGGUACAACUGAAGGCAAUGGGGUUCCCAAAGCACUUUUUGGGGGCACAACCGAAGGCAAUGGGGUCCCCAGAGCCCUUUUUGGGGGUACAACCGAAGGAAUUGGGGUCCUUAGCACCCUUUUUGGGGUACAACUGAAGGCAAUGGGGUUCCCAAAGCACUUUUUGGGGGUACAACCGAAGGAAAUGGGGUCCCCAGAGCCCUUUUUGGGGGUACAACCGAAGGAAUUGGGGUCCUUAGCACCCUUUUUGGGGUACAACUGAAGGCAAUGGGGUUCCCAAAGCACUUUUUGGGGGUACAACCGAAGGAAAUGGGGUCCCCAGAGCACUUUUUGGGAUACAGUCACAGGCAAUGGGGUCCUUAGCCCCCUUUUUGGGGCACAACUGAAGGCAAUGGGGUCCCGAGACCCCUUUUUUGGGGGUACAACCAAAGGAAAUGGGGUCCCCAGAGCACUUUUUGGGGGUACAACCGGAGGAAAUUGGGUCCCCAGAGCCCUUUUUGGGGGUACAACCGAAGGAAUUGGGGUCCUUAGCACCCUUUUUGGGGUACAACUGAAGGCAAUGGGGUUCCCAAAGCACUUUUUGGGGGUACAACGAAAGGAAUUGGGGUCCCCAGAGCCCUUUUUGGGGUACAACCGAAGGAAAUGGGGUCCCCAGAGCCCUUUUUGGGGUACAUUGUUCCCCUCCCAAUUUGGGGUACAACACCGCGAACACAAUCGUCCCCUCCCACCGCCACCCCAAGAAGACACCGCACUCCUUCAGCCCUCGGCCACCAUCGCCGCCAUGUUGUCACCAUCACACCGUCACCGUCACGUUGUCACCGUUACAUCAUCACCGCCAUGUUGUCACCGCCAUGUUGUCACCGCCAUGUUGUCCCUGUCACAUCAUCAUUGCCAUGUUGUCACCAUCACGUCAUCACCAUCACACUGUCACCGCCAUGUUGUCACCGUCACGUCAUCACUGCCAUGUUGUCACUGUCACAUCGUCACCGCCAUGUUGUCACCGUCACACCGUCACUGUCACGUUGUCACCGUUGUCACCGUCACAGCAUCACCGCCACCAUGUUGUCACUGUCACAUCGUCACCGCCACGGUGUCACCAUCACAUCGUCACUGUCACGUUGUCACCGUUACAUCAUCACCUCCAUGUUGUCGCCGCCGCCAUGUUGUCACCGCCAUGUUGUCACCGCCAUGUUGUCACCGCCACACCGUCACUGUCACGUUGUCACCGUUACAUCAUCACCGCCAUGUUGUCACCGCCAUGUUGUCACCGUCACACCGUCACUGUCACGUUGUCACCGUUACAUCAUCACCGCCAUGUUGUCACCUCCAUGUUGUCACCGCCAUGUUGUCACCGCCAUGUUGUCACCGUCACACCGUCAUCGUCACGUUGUCACCGCCAUGUUGUCACCGCCAUGUUGUCACCGUCACACCGUCACCGUCACGUCGUCAACAUUACAUCAUCACCGCCAUGUUGUCACCGUCACACCGUCACUGUCACGUUGUCACCGUCGUCACCGUCACAUCAUCGCCAUGUUGUCACCGUCACAUUGUCACUGUCAUCACCGCCAUGUUGUCACCGUCAC